UUUCGGGAGGGGUGUAUUUAUUAGAUAAAAAACCAAUGCCCUUCGGGGCUUCUUGGUGAUUCAUAAUAACUUYUCAGAUCGCAUGGCCUUGCGCCGGCGACGGUUCAUUCAAAUUUCUGCCCUAUCAACUUUCGAUGGUAAGGUAUUGGCUUACCAUGGUUUCAACGGGUAACGGGGAAUUAGGGUUCGAUUCCGGAGAGGGAGCCUGAGAAACGGCUACCACAUCCAAGGAAGGCAGCAGGCGCGCAAAUUACCCAAUCCCGACACGGGGAGGUAGUGACAAUAAAUACUGAUACAGGGCUCUUUUGGGUCUUGUAAUUGGAAUGAGUACAAUUUAAACCUCUUAACGAGGAACAAUUGGAGGGCAAGUCUGGUGCCAGCAGCCGCGGUAAUUCCAGCUCCAAUAGCGUAUAUUAAAGUUGUUGCAGUUAAAAAGCUCGUAGUUGAACCUUUGGCCUGGCUGGCAGGUCCGCCUCACCGCGUGUACUUGUCCGGCCGGGCCUUUUCUUCUGGAGAACCGCAUGCCCUUCACUGGGUGUGUUGGGGACCAGGACUUUUACUUUGAAAAAAUUAGAGUGUUCAAAGCAGGCCUUUGCUCGAAUACGUUAGCAUGGAAUAAUAGAAUAGGACGUGCGGUCCUAUUUUGUUGGUUUCUAGGACCGCCGUAAUGAUUAAUAGGGACAGUCGGGGGCAUCAGUAUUCAAUUGUCAGAGGUGAAAUUCUUGGAUUUAUUGAAGACUAACUACUGCGAAAGCAUUUGCCAAGGAUGUUUUCAUUAAUCAGUGAACGAAAGUUAGGGGAUCGAAGACGAUCAGAUACCGUCGUARUCUUAACCAUAAACUAUGCCGACUAGGGAUCGGGCGGUGUUUCUAUUUUGACUCGCUCGGCACCUUACGAGAAAUCAAAGUGUUUGGGUCUGGGGAGUGCCC
rnacentral:rRNA from 1 species